rnacentral:SRP_RNA from 1 species
UGUUAGAUACCCUAUUGCUGUUAAGUUGAACAACUAGUCAGGUCUGGAAAGAAGCAGCUAAAUCAAUCUAUGCAGGCUUUUGGACAUAGCUAACAGAA